GGGGAGAUGCCCGAGAGGUUAAAGGGAAUGGGCUGUAAACCCAUUAGCCGUAGGCUUUCGAAGGUUCGAAUCCUUCUCUCCCCA
rfam:Candidatus Desantisbacteria bacterium CG1_02_49_89 cg1_0.2_scaffold_368_c, whole genome shotgun sequence.